CCCGUUCCCAUCCCGAACACGGUAGUUAAGCUUCUCUGCGCCAAUGGUAGUUGGGGGCUUCCCCCUGCGAGAGUAGGUCGCUGCCG
rnacentral:rRNA from 1 species